UGUAGUCAUAUGCUUGUCUCAAAGAUUAAGCCAUGCAUGUCUAAGUAUAAGCAAUCUAUACUGUGAAACUGCGAAUGGCUCAUUAAAUCAGUUAUCGUUUAUUUGAUAGUACCUUACUACUUGGAUAACCGUGGUAAUUCUAGAGCUAAUACAUGCUAAAAACCCCGACUUUUGGAGGGGUGUAUUUAUUAGAUAAAAAACCAAUGCCCUUCGGGGCUCCUUGGUGAUUCAUAAUAACUUAACGAAUCGCAUGGCCUUGUGCCGGCGAUGGUUCAUUCAAAUUUCUGCCCUAUCAACUUUCGAUGGUUAGGUCUUGGCUAACCAUGGUUUCAACGGGUAACGGGGAAUUAGGGUUCUAUUCCGGAGAGUGAGCCUGAGAAACGGCUAACACAUCCAAGGAAGGCAGCAGGCGCGCAAAUUACCCAAUCCCGACACGGGGAGGUAGUGACAAUAAAUACUGAUCCAGGGCUCUUUUGGGUCUUGGAAUUGGAAUGAGUACAAUUUAAGUCCCUUAACGAGGAACAAUUGGAGGGCAAGUCUGGUAAUCG
rnacentral:rRNA from 1 species